UACGAAGGGGGCUAGCGUUGCUCGGAAUUACUGGGCGUAAAGGGAGCGUAGGCGGUCAUUUAAGUCAGAGGUGAAAUCCCGGAGCUUAACUUCGGAACUGCCUUUGAUACUGGGUGUCUUGAGUGUGAGAGAGGUAUGUGGAACUCCGAGUGUAGAGGUGAAAUUCGUAGAUAUUCGGAAGAACACCGGUGGCGAAGGCGGCCAACUGGUACGACACUGACGCUGAGGCGCGAAAGCGUGGGGAGCAAACAGG
rnacentral:rRNA from 1 species